UUAACAAUUUAAUAAAAUCCGUGCAUCGCACGGGCUAAAAUCUAGUUGCUAGUAAUACGGAGUAACACGGAAGCAAAUUUCAGCGUUAGAUUUAGGUGAUCCGACGGUUGGGAGCUCUUCUCACGGUUCUCACCAUAAGACCACUUCUCACCGGAUCCUAACCCUAUAUAUAUAUAUAUAUAGAAUCGGGAUCUGGUGAGAACCACCCCUUAAGAUGAGAACUGAGAACUAAUCUCAGCCCUUGAUCAAUUCAGUCCAAUGGCCAUUAUCCCACCCGAAAAAAUUAAAAUAUUAAGUGUAAUAUGGUAAAUUCAUUGUUGAAUGACCUCCCUCCAUCUCAACACAAUUUUCAGGUUUUUUUCUCUCUCUUCCAUCCGCUUUCUCUCUCUACCUCAAAUCCUCUCUAUUUCUUGGAACGCUCUUGGAAAAUUUCGCUCCCCUCAGUCCUCUCACGUCUUCAAUCGAAGCUUCAGCUCAAAAUUCAGUUCAUCAAUGGCGUUUUUGAAUAAUUUAAAAGGGAAUACCGACCUUAAUGGACAGAUUCACCGGUUCCUUGAGGAGCUCCUUGAAACUAAGAAAUGUCCACCUCCAACACUAAUGCAACAAGAGGAUUGUUGUUAGCCCUGUACUAUCAUUUGUGAAGCGUAGAAGCUCAUUUACCUCAAAAUAACAGACUGGUUUGCUGCAGCAAAUGCAUCAAGGAAAUGUAUUAGAAAAUAGCAUCAUGGUUGAUAUAGGUGUUGCACAUACAGAAGGUGGGAGUAACUGGGCAGACCAUCUUUAAUCCUCAGGGUACCGAUGCGUAUAAGAGUAUCUUCCAUCAAAAAUCUCUCAUGAGUAUGCCAUUUGUGAGAGGGUUCCACUUUGAGACCAACUUUCUGCUUGCCUUCUUCUGUCAGUAGAAGGCUGAUGAUACUUGGGUCUGUCGUAAAUUUCUCCUGAUGUUUCAUAGUUAUAGUACAUGGGAUGAAACUCCUUUUCCCUAUAAACAGGUGCUUCAAGAAAUCUUCUCUUGGGGGUUCAUCGUCCAGUGCAUAACUAGAUAAGUUGCUUGUUUCAAAGGCCGUUUAAGAAUUUCUCCUGUGAAAUGGAACUCGAGGCAUGAAGCUGUCUCCAUUUGGCCUAAAUCUGUUGUUUCUUCUAGGAAUUCCAUUUUCGUCCAGCGGUCCUUGUUCCUCAACUGUGCUGCUUUUCAACUUCUCAUCUGUUAUCGGAGCUCUUGAAUUACUGUAGAUCAUUCUCUCUGACAUAAUGUUACUCCAUUCAGGAGUACUUCAGCAUCAUCAUAACCUGCAACAGACUAAACAACAGACUAUACAGAAGUAAAAAAAAGUAAUCAAGGCCUUUACUUUUGAAUAAUUUUGAUUAACUUUUAUUGGUUUUGGCUUUACUUUUAUUUAUUCUAUUUAAAAACACUA